rnacentral:rRNA from 1 species
GAUGAACGCUGGCGGCGUGCUUAACACAUGCAAGUCGAGCGAAGCAGUUAAGAAGAUUCUUCGGAUGAUUCUUAACUGACUGAGCGGCGGACGGGUGAGUAACGCGUGGGUGACCUGCCCCAUACCGGGGGAUAACAGCUGGAAACGGCUGCUAAUACCGCAUAAGCGCACAGAGCUGCAUGGCUCGGUGUGAAAAACUCCGGUGGUAUGGGAUGGGCUCGCGUCUGAUUAGGCAGUUGGCGGGGUAACGGCCCACCAAACCGACGAUCAGUAGCCGGCCUGAGAGGGCGACCGGCCACAUUGGGACUGAGACACGGCCCAAACUCCUACGGGAGGCAGCAGUGGGGAAUAUUGCACAAUGGGGGAAACCCUGAUGCAGCGACGCCGCGUGAGCGAAGAAGUAUUUCGGUAUGUAAAGCUCUAUCAGCAGGGAAGAUAAUGACGG